CCCCUCAAAAAUUUAAAGAUAAAAAACCUGAAAAUAUUUUUUUACAAGAAAAAAAUAAAAUAAAAUGAAUUUCUGAUAUGAUAUCAGUAUCAGGUUACUUGUGUAUAUAAAUUUACAUAAAUAAAAGACCACACACACUUUCAGCUUCUUACAUGAAUUGAAAGUUGAAAGCCACCCAACACACCCAUAGAUUCAAAUCAAUAGUACGAAAUUCUAACAGAUCCAAAUUCAAAUCCCAAUCCGAUCCAGUCUCAUCUCUCCUUUGCAUUCACUCACCAUUCCCCAAUGGGUUUCCCAGCCAACGGCUCCGACGCCGGCUCCAAGCCGCUCAAGUUUCUCAUCUACGGC
rnacentral:lncRNA from 1 species